rnacentral:lncRNA from 10 species
CAAAUGUUGGAACUGAAGACUCAAUGUGAGAGGUGAGACCUUUAGAAGGCUCUGCCCUCAUGAAUGGAAUUAGUGCCCUUAUAGGAGAGGCUUGAGGGAGCCUGUUUGCCCCUUCUGCCACGUGAACAUGCAGCAGGAAGGCUCCAUUUAUGAAGCAGAGCCUUCACCAGACACUAAAUCUGCUGGUGCCAUGAUCUUGAGCUUCCCUGCCUUCAGAACUGUGAACAAUAGAUUUCUGUUGCUUAUAAAUUACUCAGUCUAAAGUAUUUUGUUCCAGGAGCCUGAAUGGACUAAGACACGUACAUGUCUGGCAACGUAGCUGAGGUGGCCAGAAUGGCUGCAGGUGGUCAAGCCUCUCCCUGUUUAGUGGUGUCUCAUCACUUCCCAGUGAUGAGAGACCACGUGGAGCUUUUUAACAUCAUGGCUGGCUCCAAAGACAGUAAAAAAGAAAAGUACAAAGUCUCUUAAGGCCCGGACCUAGAAGUCACAGUGCAUUACUCUGGCUACAUUUUGUUGAUCAAAUCAAGUAACAAGACGAGUCUGGAUUCAAGGGGAAGAGAAAUAGACUCAACACCUUUUUGGGGGUUUAAUGACACAUAUGUUCAGAAAUGGGAAUAAUCUUUGAUAAAGAUUUUACAAACAAUCUACACAAAUGGUUAAGUAAAUAAUAGGACAGGUUGUAGCAGAUAUGGCAAAAAUUGUGAGGGUGAUAUUCAAAUGACUAUUUGGAAGAUGCUGUCUUCACCUAACAUCUAAAUAUUGCAGUAGACAGUAAGUUGAUGAUUUUUAGUACCUUGUGCUAAGCAUUAUACACAAAGGAGUUUUAUGAAAAAGAUAACAUGGUACAAACUUGUCCUAGAACUUUUUACAUUCUAGUGAAGAAGACAGAUAUAUAAAUAAAUAUAACACAAUUACCAUGAUGCAUGUUACAGUAAAGGGUUUGAAAUAUAGAGUGCUGUCAUUUUAUGUAAAAGUCUGAGUGCAAAUGGAUUUUCUUGGGCCCAUGAUUUGUAGCAGAUCUCAAAAAAGUGUGAAACCCUAAAAGGACCUAAAAACACUGAAGAGACACGAUGGUGUGAAGCACAGAGAUCAAAGCUACUAACAGUAGUGGUAAGGAAAAGAUUUCACGGAAGUGGUAACAUUUAAAGGUAGGAAAGCGGGAGGAUUGAGGAGGAAUUGGCACGAGUUGGACGCCAGUUAGAUGUGGGGAGGUGAGAUGGAUGUAGAGGAAGGAGAGGAAGAAUUAGGAAUGUGGGGGAAUUGAAGAAAGGGAAAGGGGAACAAGUAAUUAAAGGAUGACAGUUUUCUAGCUGGGGAAAAUGGUAGAUGGUAGAAAAUAUAGGAGGAAGAAUGGGUUUUCUAAGUACAGCUUUCCAGAAUUCAGUUUUGUCCAAGUUGUGAUUGAGAUGCCCAUGUGAUAAACCAAUAGACAAUUGGGCAUGCAGGUCUGGAAUGUACCUAUCUUGUGCCAGGCACUUUUAUAGGAAUUGCAUAUAGAGCCGUGAAUAUCCUAAAGAUAUUCACAUUCUAGUGAAUGUGAAUACAAAAUACAAAUGUUAUCAGAAUUCUUAGAUUCUAAUGUGGUUGGCAGGGAGUGGGGGGUGGGCGGCGUGGAGACAAUUAGUGUGGAAAAAAGCCAAUAUAAAUUUUACCCAACGUUAAAUACUAAGAAUAAAGUAAAUUUAAUUAAUGGGAUAGAGAGGGUUGGGGAAGCUACUUUAUCUAGAGUAGUAUGGAAACUGAAGGCAGCUUUUUGAACUACAACUUAAAGCUGGGAAAGAGGCUGAGCCUCUUUAGCUUGAUAAGGUAGGACAAUUGUACCAGCAAGAGAUUAACCUUUGUGAUUUAACCUGGUGUCCCUCAGAGACCACAUUGUUGUGAGGAACCCUUCCCCCAGCACCUCCACCCACAGACAUCUUAAUCUUCCCCAUCUAGCAACAGAACCAUGUGGAGCAGAUAAUGAGUAUAAAUAAAAAUCCAUUCAUGUGUCCAGGACACCAGAGGAGUGGAAACUUCAGGGAGAGAGGAACUAUGAGAGAUAAGAAGAGAAUGUAAGGAAGAAAAUGGCAGGGGGAAGUCACUCACUGACCUCUGAUGGUAUGGACACAGAUAUGGGGCUCCCAAAAGUCUGGGAUUGAGCCCCACUCCCAUAGUUAGUAUCGAGGAAUGAGUUAGUCUAGAGAUAACACUCCUCACCACACUUUGGAUGUUGUACAAGAUGGAUUACAUCACUGUCUGAGAUGGGUUACCUCACUUGAACUUGAGUGAAGAGACUUGAGUGAACUUAGAUUGUACAAUAUUCUGGGUUUUGGGUAUACUGAUUUGAGGUAGUGAUAGGACACCAUCUUCCCUCCCCACCCACUUGCACAUGUCUAGACCCCUCCACUGGGGAAGAUAGGGUGAGAACAGAGUUGUCUCUGGACCAAUAUACCACCAGGAAGACUUUGUCUCCUGACAUCUCCCACUUCACCCAUACUAAGGUAAAGGUAUUCAAUUUUUAAAUAAAUUGUUUAUUAUAAUAUU